UACGAAGGGGGCUAGCGUUGUUCGGAAUUACUGGGCGUAAAGCGCACGUAGGCGGAUAUUUAAGUCAGGGGUGAAAUCCCAGAGCUCAACUCUGGAACUGCCUUUGAUACUGGGUAUCUGGAGUAUGGAAGAGGUGAGUGGAAUUCCGAGUGUAGAGGUGAAAUUCGUAGAUAUUCGGAGGAACACCAGUGGCGAAGGCGGCUCACUGGCCCGAUACUGGACGCUGAGGCGAACGCAGCGGGGAAGCAAACGGG
rnacentral:rRNA from 1 species